UAGGGAAUCUUCCACAAUGGACGCAAGUCUGAUGGAGCAACGCCGCGUGAGUGAAGAAGGUUUUCGGAUCGUAAAGCUCUGUGGUUGGGGAAGAAGGAUAGAGGCAGUAACUGGUCUUUAUUUGACGGUAAUAAACCAGAAAGUCCCGGCUAACUACGUGCCACCAGCCGCGGUAAUACUUAGGUGGCAAGCGUUGUCCGGAUUUAUUGGGCGUAAAGCGAGCGCAGGCGGAAUGAUAAGUCUGAUGUGAAAGCCCACGGCUCAACCGUGGAACUGCAUCGGAAACUGUCAUUCUUGAGUGCAGAAGAGGAGAGUGGAAUUCCAUGUGUAGCGGUGGAAUGCGUAGAUAUAUGGAAGAACACCAGUGGCGAAGGCGGCUCUCUGGUCUGCAACUGACGCUGAGGCUCGAAAGCAUGGGUAGCGAACAGG
rnacentral:rRNA from 1 species